GAUGAAGAACGUAGCGAAAUGCGAUAAGUAAUGUGAAUUGCAGAAUUCAGUGAAUCAUCGAAUCUUUGAACGCACAUUGCGCCCCUUGGUAUCCCGAGGGGCAUGCCUGUUCGAGCGUCAUUUCACCACUCAAGCCUGGCUUGGUGUUGGGCGACGUCCCCUUUAGGGACGCGCCUCGAAACGCUCGGCGGCGUGGCACCGGCUUUAAGCGUAGCAGAAUCUUUCGCUUUGGAAGUCGGGGCCCCGCCUGCCGGAAUACCUACUCGUAAGGUUGACCUCGGAUCAGGCAGGGAUACCCGCUGAACUUAAGCAUAUCAAUAAGCGGAGGA
rnacentral:misc_RNA from 1 species